rnacentral:lncRNA from 1 species
UAUUCUUGUUUUUUAACUCUACAUAAUUCACCAGAGAUAGAGACCAGAUUCAGAGCUUAACAUGAACAAUUUAGACAUUUUCUAUUCGGGGUCAUUCAAUUCAUCGAUUAUCUGGAAUGUACACAGGGAAUAUCUUUCUAUCUAAAAAGAUGUGCACAUUUUCCCGUGUCCACACUGACUCCUUUCCCCAUUGCCAAAAUAGGCAGGGAUACUACACACUUCCAUACUUCCAAACUUUGAAAUCUAUUCACCGUAGCAUUCAAAAGAGAUGGGGCAGAGGGAAUCUCAUUCCUAAUUCCAUAAAAUCAAGUGAUGUUUCAUGAACUCCUCUGUGGUCAAUAGGUAAUUUGAUGGUUUUUGAAUAAUUCUACAAAAUAAGAGCUAGAAAACCGGAUAAACGAAUCCUGUCAUACUCAUAAAUUGAUUCCAGUUUAAAUCUCACACAAGCCUGCAAAUUCCCAACAACCAGACAGACUGGAAGAUGGUUAAGUGACUUACUUAGGUCUCACAGCUAACCAGGUCCUGGAAAUAGAAGGUGAGCCCUGGUCUUCAGCCCUGAUCCAAUGUUCUUCCUUCUGGUUCCUCGCCUGGAAGCUCUUUGCCCAGAGCCAGAGCCCCGAGAACCACGUGCUAAAGUGGAAAUCAUCAGUUAGACAAUCCAGGGGCGAGUCCCACCUCCCCACCAACUAGCUCUGUGCCGUUGGUCUAGUUACUUAACCUCCGAGAGCCUCAGUUUUCUCAGCUGAAACUGAAAAAGAUAAAAUUGACUUCACACAGAGGUAGUGACUUACAGGUAGGGUGUCCCGCCUGCAGCAAGCUGUGCUCAGUGAAGGCAGAGACAGAGACGCAGCAAAGCCUGUGCGUGGAUCCCAGCAGCCCAUUCACACAGUCCUUCCCAUGCCAGGAAAUGACCUCACCUCUCUCCCGAGGACCAAAAGAAUUAGAAAUAGAUCACAGACUUAGGUUAGGUAAUUUAAAAGUACUAAUAGGAAUGAAAGCUAAUUUCAGAAGAGAAUGAUUAUUACUAUUUUAAAAAGUUAUAUUAAGGGCAGCCCUGGUGGCCCAACGGUUUGGUGCCGCCUUUGGCCCGGGGCCCGAUCCUGGAGUCCCCGGGAUCGAGUCCCACAUCGGGCUUCCUGCACGGGGCCUGCUUCUCCCUCUGCCUGUGCCUCUGCCUCUCAUUUUCUCUCUCUGUCUGUCAUGAAUAAAUAAAAUCUUUAAAAAAACAAAAAACAAACAAAAAAAAAAACGUGUACCAGUAAGUAUUAACAAUAGUGAAAGUAACUUUGUACCAUAUAAACACAUUGGCUUCUCUGUUACCCACAGAUCGCAGAUAGAAAGUGCUAGAUCACACAUACCCCACAAUUCUGUAAAAGUGCUCAUUUAAGUUGCUGCCUUGCUUAUUGUUUAUCAAUCCUAAAACAGAUAAAGUUGUAGAGUAUGGAUCUGUUUCUGCUUCACUGAACUACAAAGACAAGGCCCAGACCAGUAACGUUCAAACUUUCCCCUUCUCAUGCCCUUAAAAAAUGUUUUUAAUGUAUGCUCUCUCUUGCAUAUUUUUCAUUUGAAUCUAUAAGGAUUCAUAAUAAGUUUAAGUGGUUGUGAAGAAUGUUAUUUCUAAGGCACUGUGAAUCUUGAUAUUUUGAAAUAAAACAUCGCUUUCUAAAAUGAAUUCAGUGGAAUCUAAAUGCCACCCACCUUAAUGUAAUAGGACACCCACCUCUAUCCAUUAAAAAAAUAUAUGAACUAGCUCUUCUUUAACAUACCACCAGUUUGAAGAUCAUUGUUCUUCCCACUUUGGUAUAUAUUUUAAAAGUUUCACAUAAUAAGUAAAAACAACAACAACAAAAAAACCAAAAACCACCUCAUACAACAUAUAUGUACAUAUAUUUUAUAUUAAUAUAUGUGCAUUUUUUUAGAGACACACACAUACGCACAAAAUCAGAUGGCCUGGUUCCACCACUAGACUCUAAAUUUAAAUUGGUCUGGCAUGUAGAUGGGCCUCGGUACUUUUUUAAAGCUUCCCAGCUGAUUCUACAGAGCAGCCAAGGUUGAUAAAGACUAGAUUAGGGCUAAAAUCAGGGAGAAAACACAUUUCCCUAAAAGCAUCAGGAUCAGCACAAACUCCUGCCUACACUGGGACUAGCCCAGUGGCAGUGGGCCUAUUACUUGCGUUCUUUUCCUUUUUGCUGGAAAGAAAAAUCACCACCUCUGCUCUGAAGAACUCUGGAACACAGUGGUCGUCUGGGCACUCAGGGGCAGUGAAGGGUUCUUUUUGGUAAAACAUACUGCCUUAUGCAGAGAUCAAGCUGACAACUUCAGACUCAAAGGACAUGUGUGUGUGUUUUUGUUUGUUUGUUUCAUCAACUGUUUUUAAAGAAUCAAUGCAUCCAUUUCAAGUGUAGUGCUAUUCCAUCAUCUGCUGUAUUGCAGGGCUUCGUCUGCCUCUAUAAGCAAUGUAUCUUGUGUUUCACUGGCUGCUUUAAAGAUUUUUCCCCUUUUUCCUGGUUUCCAGAAGGUAGAAAAGCAAUAGAAAAAAAAAAAAUCAAUGAAGCCAAAAUUUGGUUCUUUGAAAAGAUGAACAAAAUUGACAAAAUUUUAGCUAGAACAGCCAAAGAGAGAAGACUCAAAUCACUUCAAACAGGAAUAAAAGAGGAUGUUUACCAAACUUAUGUAAAUAAAAAGGAUUAUAAGGGAAAAUGAGGAAUAGAUGUAUGUUGACACAUCAGAUAAUUUAAAUGAAAUGGAGAAAUUGCCAGGAAUACACAAAAUACUGAAACAGACAUAAAAUGAAAUGGAAAAUGUGACUUGGUCUGUAAUAAGUAAAGAGAUAAAACUGGUAAUUUUUAAAUUUCCACAAAGAAAAGCUCCACCCCAAAGAAAAGAUAGUGUCACUGGUGACUUGUGCCAAACAUUCAGAGAAGAAUUAUUAUGAAUUCUUCACAAGUUGUUCCAGAAAAUAGAUGAGGAAUAGACACAUCCUAAACCAUUUUAUGAGGCCAGUAUUAACCCGAUAACAAAUCAGACAAAACUAGCAUAAGAACAGCAACUAAAGAUCUAUAUUGCUUGUGAACAGAUAUGUAAACAUUCUCAAUAAAUGCUACAGCAUAUAGAAAAGAUUAUACACCAUGACCAAGUGAAAUUUGUUCCAGAAAUGUAGGGCUGGCUUAAUAUCUGAAAAUUAGUAUAACAGACAAUAAUACAGAGUAAAGGGGAGAAAAUAUGAUCAUUUCAAUAAAUGCAGAAAAAGCAGAGAACUUCCUCACCCUUACAGAGGACAUCUUCUGGAAACUUCAAAUCUAGCAUCAGGCUUAAAGGUGAAAAACUGGGUGCUUUCCACCAAGAUCAGAACAGGUAAGGAUAUCUGCUCUGAUCUGAUUAUCAUUGUAUGAGAGGUUCUGGUCAGGGCAAGAAAAAGAAAAAGCAUCCAGAUCAAAAAAGAAAAAAGUAAAACUAUCUCUGUUUGCAGAUGGGGUGAUCUUACAUAUAGAAAACCCAAAGUAGUCCGCACAUACACACAAAUAUUAGGAUGAAUAAACAAGUUCAGCAAAGUUACAGAACAUAGGAUUAAUGUAUAAAAAUAAGUUGUAUUUCUCUACACGCUAGCAAUGAACAUUCUGAAAUGAAAUUAAGGAAACAGUUCCAUUUAUGAUAUCACCAAAAAAUAAAAUAUCUAGUUACAAUUUUAAGAAAAGAAGCCAAGACUCAUACACCAAAAUUUACAAAACAUUGUUUAAAGAAAUUAAAGACCUAAGUAAAUGGAAUGUCACCCAUGUUCAGGGAUCAGAAGACUUAAUAUUGUUAGGACAGCAAUACUCACCAAAUUGAUACACAGAUUAAUAUAAUUUCCUUUUUUUAAAAAAGAUUCUAUUUAUUUAUUCAUGAGAGACACAGAGAGAGAGGCAGAGACAUAGGCAGAGGGAGAAGCAGGCUCCACACAAGGAGUCCGACUUGGGACUCAAUCCCAGGACCCUAGGAUUACAACCUGAGCCCAAGGCAGAUGCUCAACCACUGAGCCACCCAGGCACCCUGGAUUGAGAUAAUUUCUACCCAAAUCCUGGGUUUUUUGCAGAAAUUGGCACACUGAUCCUAAAAUUCAUGUGGAAAUGCCAGGGACCCAGAAUAUCCCAAACAAUUUUAAAAAGGCAGAAUAAAGUUGGAAGAUUCAUACAUCCCUAUUUUAAAACUUACUACAGGGGCACUUGGGUGGCUCAGUCAGUUAAGUGUCCAACUCUUGAUUUCUGCUCCGGUCAUGAUCUCAGAGUGGAGAGAUCAAGCCCCCCCUAAGAGCCCUGCAACAGGCUCCAUGCUCAGCAGGGAGUCUGCUGGAGAUUCUUUCUCCCUCUACCCCUCCCCUCGCUCUUGCAUAAAUAAGUAAAUAAGUAAAUCUUAAAAAAAAAAAAAACUUACUACAAAACUACAGUGAUCAAGAUAGUGUCAUCCUGGCAUAAGGCUAGACAUAUGGAUCAAUGGAAUAGAAUUGAGAAUCCAUAUAUAAAUCCUCACAUCUAUACUCAAUUGAUUUUUGAGAAGGUGACAGCACAAUUCAACAAGGAAACAAUAGUCUUUUCAACAAAUGGUCUUGGAUGACUGGAUACUCACAUGCAAAAGACAAAAUUGAGCCCCCCUCCUCCUACCAUAUAUAAAAAUUAAUGCAAAAUGAAUCAGAGACCUAACUGUAAGAACUAAAACUAUAAAACCAUUAAAAGAAAACAUAAGCAUAAAUCUCAAUGACCUUGAAUUAGGCAAUGGUUUUUCAGAUAUGAUACCAAAAGAAAAAGUGACACCAACUCAUCAAUAUUAAAAUUUGUAUGCUUCAAAAGACACAGGAAAGUAAAAAGACAACCUGCAGAAUGGGAGAAAAUAUCUGCAAAUCAUAUAUGUAACAAAAAUCUAGUGUGUAGAAUAUAUAAAGAACUCUUACAACUCAUAAAUAAGACAAAUAACCCAAUUAAAAAUGGGCAAAAGGCCUGAAUAGACAUUUCUCCAAGGAAGAUAUACAAAAGGCCAAGAACUACCUGAAAAGACCCAUAUCAUUUACUCUCAAGAAAAAAAAAAAAAAAAAA